AUGAACGCUGGCGGCGUGCCUAAUACAUGCAAGUCGAGCGAACGGACGAGAAGCUUGCUUCCCUGAUGUUAGCGGCGGACGGGUGAGUAACACGUGGAUAACCUACCUAUAAGACUGGGAUAACUUCGGGAAACCGUAGCUAAUACCGGAUAAUAUUUUGAACCGCAUGGUUCAAAAGUGAAAGACGGUCUUGCUGUCACUUAUAGAUGGAUCCGCGCUGCAUUAGCUAGUUGGUAAGGUAACGGCUUACCAAGGCAACGAUGCAUAGCCGACCUGAGAGGGUGAUCGGCCACACUGGAACUGAGACACGGUCCAGACUCCUACGGGAGGCAGCAGUAGGGAAUCUUCCGCAAUGGGCGAAAGCCUGACGGAGCAACGCCGCGUGAGUGAUGAAGGUCUUCGGAUCGUAAAACUCUGUUAUUAGGGAAGAACAUAUGUGUAAGUAACUGUGCACAUCUUGACGGUACCUAAUCAGAAAGCCACGGCUAACUACGUG
rnacentral:rRNA from 1 species